CAAAAAUACUCGAACAUCAACUCAAAACCUUUCCUUUUCGAAAAAAAGGCAAAUAAUAAUAUAGGUAUUCCAGUGUAGUAUUUUCCCCUCUAAUAAUACGGUUGUCCAGACCUCAUUUUUCAGAUUCAGGUGCUUAUUUUUCGUCUCUCAAUCCUGUUGGGGAAACUAUGCCUUUCCCAUCCUCGUGCACCUGCUCCACAGGAUUAGACAACGCCUCAAAAGACAGAUGGGGAUACACCGACAAGCUGUACAGGGCGGCAGGUUAAUGGAAGGAGAAAAAAGUAUCAAAGCAACGACUCCAGUUUACUUCCUUUCCGUAUCCAUGGACUCGACAUCCCGUGUUAACUGGCAGGACUGUGGCAGAGGCUGGAGGAACGCAGUUUGCCCGCACACUGAGCAGCACCGAGACACCUUCAGGUUCAGACGCGAACUGCAUUUUCAAAUGCAUCCGCAGCACAAGUUAAUGCGGCGCGUGGGUCAGUAACGCUACUGUACAGCCGCCCUCCUGUCACGGAUAAGCGCUGGCACUGCACGUGCUUGCCGAUUUACUGUUUAGCGGACGUGUUUCUGUGUUGUUUUAUCAUUUUUCCGCAAACGAAGAUGCACAUCAAAACCUUACCAGCCGGACGUUGGAAAUUAAAUUAUUUACUUUUAUUACCGAUAAAUUCCCGAACAAAUUGCAACAUUCUCUUAUCAUUUCACAUAUAUUCUCUGUAUAUCGCCUAAUUCUUCUUGUCUGUACUGAAAGAAUUUCAUGAAAAAUUCUCACAGAAAAGUGUCAUUCUGCCAUUCAGGUAUUUCAUAAGUCAGAUAUUUGGCUAUAGUUUAAUAUGUUUUUAUAGACUGUACUUUUUUUUAAACUGCCUAUGAAUUAUGUUCGUUGGAUAUAGUUCAAUAUAUUAACUAUAUCCAACGCGGAUAUAGUUCAUGGUUAGAUAAAGAAGUACAAUCUAUAAAAAAUAAAGCUAUAUGCAUACUGUCUGUUUAUUACAUGCACACGAGCUUAUGAAGUUUAGUCGACUUAAUACUGACUGUAAGGACAGUCCUCUAAGGUGUGGGCCCCUAGAAUUGUAGUGAACCAUUCAACCAUUUUAGUCCUAAUUUGGCACACCUGAUUCUACUACUGUAAUUAGCAGCUCAAGGAGAUCUCUAGCUGUUGAUUGAGAUGUGCUUUGAUAGGAGUAAAAACCUACAGGAGGGUAGAUCUCCAGGAACAGGGUUGGGAACCACUCACAUAAAUGUACAAAUCUACAACUACACUGACUUCAUAAUUUAAAACAGAUGAAUGUGAAUGCAGAUACACAUUUUAUUAAAGCAUACCUGUAUGAUACAAUGAAAGACAUGCAAAUGCACCCUGACUAUAUGUAUACACUGUGUGAAUAAGCACACCCAGAGUAUAAACACAUCACAAGCACGUUCAGGGGUAGUUUUUCGUUACUAUUUUUGAGGUGUCAUAUUUUGUUAUCUAAUAUUUGUUUACAGAUACAUCUUUUCUUAUUCCCUGACAUCAAUAGAAAGUUAAGAAACCAACAUACAAUUCCAACAGCAACAUGUUUUGUCGUAGCACAGUAAUCAGACAACACAGCACAGAUUUGUGCAUAUGUAUAUAUUACCUUGGCGUAGAGUUC